rnacentral:rRNA from 1 species
GCCAAGUCAAAAUCAUUCUAGCCAUUUGAUCUCGGAAGCGAAGCAGGGUCGGGCCUGGUUAGUACUUGGAUGGGAGACAACCUAGGAAGACCAGGUGCUGUAGGCA